AUUCAGGGUCUUUGGUGGUUCCAUGUGAAUUUUUAGCUGUGUGUAGUUAACAUUUUGUAACAAGUUUGGUUCAUACCAUAUGUCCAGAAUUAGUGGUGCAGUGGGACAUUGUGAUAAUUGUAUACCUUACAUAAGGGUAGAAUCAGAGUUUCUUGUGCCUGUGAUCAGGUAUAGGUCUUAUAUGUUUGAGGUGGGGACACCAGUAUCCUCCUUGGUAGCUAUUUUGAGAAAGAUACGACCAUAUUUUUAGGCGCAGUCGCCCUGCUGUGGAGUAGAAUACCAGAAUGUAUUCCUCUCCUUUAACUCUCUGCAUCCCUAUUGCCAAUCCUUGCCCAUGUCCUCCCUUCCAGCCAGGCUGUGGUGACCACUACUGUAUUUUCACCUUCAGUGAGUUAAAUUUUUCAACUCCCACAUGAUUGAGAACAUGCAGGUUGAUCUUUCUCUUUUCUCUGCUUUUCGAUUUGAUUGAACAUAGUAUCUUGCAGGUGCAGCCGUGUUGUGGGAAAUGAAAAAUGCCCUGAAUUUUGAUGGCUGAAAAGUAUUCCAUUGUGCCUGUGUCCUGGAAAUUCUUCAUCCCUUCAUCUGUGGAUGGACAGGUGCAACCCUGUGGUUCCCCACGAUACGAUUUCAUUGUGGUUUUCUGUGUGAAGAGUAUCCCGGUGUGUACAUGUGGAGCAGCUUCUUUCUCCCUUCGUCUGUGGACAAGCAGACCAAAUCUCGCUGUGUCAUACAGGCUGGAAUGCAAUGGAGCGAUCUUGGCUCACUGCAUCCUCCAUCUUCGGGGUUCAUGUGAUUCUUGUGCA